CUAUGAUCACUAAAUAGAAGAAGCAUAGAAUUAUUUGUACUGACUGCUUAAAAGUGCAUAAGAAAUUAUAGGUGAAGAAUGACUUUUCUACCACCCUGCUGUCAUAUGAACGAAAGCAGUAAGAAUGUUUAGAGGCAGAAAUGCAGUACAGGAAGACAAGUUUAACAAGAGUAAAUUAGAUGCAGGCGAUAGAUAUCCCCAGUAUUAGGGUAGACUUUGCGGAUUUCUGCUGUCCCACAGCACAUUCUUGAGUGUUCGCCCCGUGCUUCCUUGUUUUUUAAAAUGUAUUUUGACUCAGUGUGCAUAGAUGCCCUUGACUGGGCCAUGCUCCCACAAGACGCACUGGGAGCACUGUGAGAAAAAUUCGCUUUGGGCACCCUCAAUUCCUUUUUAAAAAUGAAUUUAUGAUGUCAAGCUAAAUGAGCUGAGAAAAGGGAACCAGCAACAAUCUUCACCGUGGAAUUAAAAGCCAACUAAUGAGGCUGCAGAACUACGGAAACCCAGGGAAGGCAACAGUCCCUGUGAAGUACCAUUCAUAAAGGAAGGCUAAGGGCAAGCCGCCCAGCCAAU
rnacentral:lncRNA from 1 species